rnacentral:rRNA from 1 species
CAAUAGCGUAUAUUAAAGUUGUUGCGGUUAAAAAGCUCGUAGUUGGAUUUCUGUAUUCGGAGACCGGUCCACUCACUGAGUAGGUAUCAGGAUCUCGGUGUACAUCUAUCCUAGUUUCCGUAUAUGCACUUAAUUGUGUGGUGCGAAUCCUAGGUCGUUUACUUUGAGGAAAUUAGAGUGUUUCAAGCAGGCAUACGCCUUGAAUACAUUAGCAUGGAAUAAUAAAAUAUGACUUUUGUCCUUAUUUUGUUGGUUUCUUGGGCUGAAGUAAUGAUAAAUAGGAACAGUCGGGGGCGAUUCGUAUUUAGCUGUCAGAGGUGAAAUUCUUGGAUUUGCUAAAGACGAACUACUGCGAAAGCAUUUGCCAAGGAUGUUUUCAUUGAUCAAGAACGAAAGUUAGGGAUCGAAGACGAUCAGAUACCGU